GUGUCAGCCGCCGCGGUAAGACAGAGGUGCCAAGCGUUAGGCGGAAUCACUGGGCUUAAAGCGUGUGUAGGUGGACUGGUAAGUACUUUGUGAAAUCCCAUGGCUCAACCAUGGAACUGCUUGGUAUACUGCUGGUCUUGAGCAACUUAGGGGCGAGCGGAACAAAUGGUGGAGCGGUGAAAUGCGUAGAUAUCAUUUGGAACGCCAAUGGUGAAAACAGCUCGCUGGGAGUUUGCUGACACUGAGACACGAAAGCUAGGGGAGCGAACGGGAUUAGAUACCCCAGUAGUCC
rnacentral:rRNA from 1 species